rnacentral:rRNA from 1 species
UUCCGGUUGAUCCUGCCGGACCUGACUGCUAUCUGGGUGAGGAUAAGCCAUGCGAGUCGAAUGGGAUACUAAUCUUCCCAUGGCAAACUGCUCAGUAACACAUGAUCAACUUACCCUAUAGAGGGAAAUAACCUCGGGAAACUGAGGAUAAUGACUCAUAAUUGAAAAGGCUUGGAAAAGUUUUUCAAUAAAAGGAUUGAUAAUGGUUCCUAUGCACUACAGGAUAGGAGCGUGCUUGGUUAUGGUGUGGUGAGUAUGGCCCACCAAGACUAUUACAGGUACGGGCUCUGAGAGGAGUAGCCCGGAGAUGGGUACUGAGACACGGACCCAGGCCCUAUGGGGCGCAGCAGGCGAGAAAACUUUGCAAUGUGCGAAAGCACGACAAGGUUAAUCCGAGUGGUUUCUGCUAAAGGAACCUUUUGUCAGUCCUAGAAACACUGAUGAAUAAGGGGUGGGCAAGUUCUGGUGUCAGCCGCCGCGGUAAAACCAGCACCUCAAGUGGUCAGGAUGAUUAUUGGGCCUAAAGCAUCCGUAGCCUGCUUUGUAAGUUUUCGGUUAAAUCCAUACGCUCAACGUAUGGGCUGCCGGGAAUACUGCAAAGCUAGGGAGUGGGAGAGGUAGACGGUACUCGGUAGGAAGGGGUAAAAUCCUUUGAUCUAUUGAUGACCACCUGUGGCGAAGGCGGUCUACCAGAACACGUCCGACGGUGAGGGAUGAAAGCUGGGGGAGCAAACCGGAUUAGAUACCCGGGUAGUCCCAGCUGUAAACUAUGCAAACUCAGUGAUGCAUUGGCUUGAUGCCAAUGCAGUGCUGCAGGGAAGCCGUUAAGUUUGCCGCCUGGGAAGUACGUACGCAAGUAUGAAACUUAAAGGAAUUGGCGGGGGAGCAC